AUUGAACGCUGGCGGCAGGCUUAACACAUGCAAGUCGAACGAGUGGCGGACGGGUGAGUAAUGCUUGGGAAUCUAGCUUAUGGAGGGGGAUAACUACGGGAAACUGUAGCUAAUACCGCGUACCAUCGGAUGAGCCCAAGUGGGAUUAGGUAGUUGGUGAGUAAAAGGCUCACCAAGCCGUCGAUCUCUAUCUGGUCUGAGAGGAUGACCGGCAACACUGGGACUGAGACCCGGCCCAGACUCCUACGUGAGGCAGCAGUGGGGAAUAUUUCGCAAUGGGGGCAACCUGACGCAGCCAUGCCGCGUGAAUGAAGAAGGCCGUCGGUUUGUAAAGUUUUUUUGGUAGCGAGGCGUUAACUACAGAAGAAGCACCGGCUAACUCCGUGCCAGCAGCCGCGGUAAUUC
rnacentral:rRNA from 1 species